rnacentral:snRNA from 1 species
GUGCUUGCUUUGGCAGCACAUAUACUAAAAAUUGGAAUGAUACAGAGAAGAUUAGCAUGGCACCUGCACAAGGAUGACACGCAAAUUUGUGAAGCAUUCUAUAUUUUU